rnacentral:rRNA from 1 species
CGCGUAGGCGGCUUUAUAAGUCUGGAGUGAAAGUCCUCUUUUCAAGGGAGGAAUUGCUUUGGAAACUAUAGAGCUUGAGUGCAGGAGAGGUUAUCGGAAUUCCCGGUGUAGCGGUGAAAUGCGUAGAUAUCGGGAGGAACAUCGAUGGCGAAGGCGGGUAACUGGACUGCAACUGACGCUGAGGCGCGAAAGUGUGGGGAGCAAACA